GGCCCUUUCGGGGGUACUCGAGCGGCGAACGGGUGAGUAACACGUGAGUAAUCUGCCCUUCACUUGGGGAUAACCUCCGGAAACGGUGGCUAAUACCCGAUACGACCAUGGAUCGCAUGAUCUUGUGGUGGAAAGUUUUUCGGUGGGGGAUGUGCUCGCGGCCUAUCAGCUUGUUGGUGGGGUAAUGGCCUACCAAGGCUUCGACGGGUAGCCGGCCUGAGAGGGUGACCGGCCACACUGGGACUGAGACACGGCCCAGACUCCUACGGGAGGCAGCAGUGGGGAAUAUUGGACAAUGGGCGGAAGCCUGAUCCAGCAACGCCGCGUGAGGGAUGACGGCCUUCGGGUUGUAAACCUCUUUCAGCACAGACGAAGCCUCUUGGGGGGUGACGGUAUGUGCAGAAGAAGCACCGGCCAACUACGUGCCAGCAGCCGCGGUAAUACGUAGGGUGCGAGCGUUGUCCGGAAUUAUUGGGCGUAAAGGGCUCGUAGGCGGUUUGUCGCGUCGGGAGUGAAAACACCGGGCUUAACUCGGUGCUUGCUUUCGAUACGGGCAGACUAGAGGUAUGCAGGGGAGAACGGAAUUCCUGGUGUAGCGGUGAAAUGCGCAGAUAUCAGGAGGAACACCGGUGGCGAAGGCGGUUCUCUGGGCAUGACCUGACGCUGAGGAGCGAAAGUGUGGGGAGCGAACAGGAUUAGAUACCCUGGUAGUCCACACCGUAAACGUUGGGCGCUAGGUGUGGGGGCCUAUUCCAUGGGUU
rnacentral:rRNA from 1 species